rnacentral:lncRNA from 1 species
UCUUUUAGCCUCUGGAGGAAACUACUCAGAGGAUGUUCAGUCAUUUGACCAGCCUAAUAAUGGCUUUUGUGGAAACAUCUUGGCAGAGCUAGAGUCAACAGACCUCUGUAAUGAUGGUAUGCCAAUGUAUAACUCAAGCCCCUACCACAUUGUGCCAUCAGAGCAAGCAAGGAAUGACAUCAGUCCCAGCUAUGCAAAUGGCUCCACAUCAGCUGAGUUCAGAUCCCCUGGCCCGGGUUCAGCUCCAGAUACACCACGGGGAAGAUUCCAUGGAAGGGAGCCCAGCCAAAUGUUGCAAGACAUUGCUGCCAACAAAAACACCAAGAUGCUUACGGAACUACUCAUGGAGGUCCUGCAUCAUGGAGAGAAACGCCCUUCCCCAUUGUUCUGCCACUUGCCAAUGAGGAGCAGUUUGAUGAGGCUGAAGCUGCACUGA